rnacentral:rRNA from 1 species
GAACGAACGCUGGCGGCAUGCCUAACACAUGCAAGUCGAACGAGAUCUUCGGGUCUAGUGGCGCACGGGUGCGUAACGCGUGGGAAUCUGCCCUUGGGUUCGGAAUAACUUCGGGAAACUGAAGCUAAUACCGGAUGAUGACGUAAGUCCAAAGAUUUAUCGCCCAAGGAUGAGCCCGCGUAAGAUUAGCUAGUUGGUGGGGUAAAAGCCUACCAAGGCAACGAUCUUUAGCUGGUCUGAGAGGAUGAUCAGCCACACUGGGACUGAGACACGGCCCAGACUCCUACGGGAGGCAGCAGUGGGGAAUAUUGGACAAUGGGCGAAAGCCUGAUCCAGCAAUGCCGCGUGAGUGAUGAAGGCCCUAGGGUUGUAAAGCUCUUUUACCAGGGAUGAUAAUGACAGUACCUGGAGAAUAAGCUCCGGCUAACUCCGUG